GUAGUCCACGCCGUAAACGUUGGGCGCUAGGUGUGGGGGACCUUCCACGUCCUCUGUGCCGCAGCUAACGCAUUAAGCGCCCCGCCUGGGGAGUACGGCCGCAAGGCUAAAACUCAAAGGAAUUGACGGGGGCCCGCACAAGCGGCGGAGCAUGUGGCUUAAUUCGAUGCGACGCGAAGAACCUUACCAAGGCUUGACAUUCAGGGAAAUCUCACAGAGAUGUGAGGUCCGCAAGGGUCCUGAACAGGUGGUGCAUGGUUGUCGUCAGCUCGUGUCGUGAGAUGUUGGGUUAAGUCCCGCAACGAGCGCAACCCUCGUCCUAUGUUGCCAGCGGGUUAUGCCGGGGACUC
rnacentral:rRNA from 1 species